rnacentral:rRNA from 1 species
AUUGAACGCUGGCGGAAUGCUUUACACAUGCAAGUCGAACGGUAGAGGGGGCAACCCCUUGAGAGUGGCGAACGGGUGAGUAAUAUAUCGGAACGUGCCCAGUCGUGGGGAUAACGUAGCGAAAGUUACGCUAAUACCGCAUACGAUCUAAGGAUGAAAGCGGGGGGAUCGCAAGACCUCGCGCGAUUGGAGCGGCCGAUAUCAGAUUAGGUAGUUGGUGAGGUAAGGCUCACCAAGCAACGAUCUGUAGCUGGUCUGAGAGGACGACCAGCCACACUGG